rnacentral:rRNA from 1 species
GAUCCUGGCUCAGGAUGAACGUUAGUUACAGGCUUAACACAUGCAAGUCGAGGGGCAGCAUGGUCUUAGCUUGCUAAGGCCGAUGGCGACCGGCGCACGGGUGAGUAACACGUAUCCAACCUGCCGUCUACUCUUGGACAGCCUUCUGAAAGGAAGAUUAAUACAAGAUGGCAUCAUGAGUCCGCAUGUUCACAUGAUUAAAGGUAUUCCGGUAGACGAUGGGGAUGCG